rnacentral:rRNA from 1 species
AGUGAACGCUGGCGGUAGGCCUAACACAUGCAAGUCGAACGGCAGCACAGAGGAGCUUGCUCCUUGGGUGGCGAGUGGCGGACGGGUGAGGAAUACAUCGGAAUCUACUCUGUCGUGGGGGAUAACGUAGGGAAACUUACGCUAAUACCGCAUACGACCUACGGGUGAAAGCAGGGGAUCUUCGGACCUUGCGCGAUUGAAUGAGCCGAUGUCGGAUUAGCUAGUUGGCGGGGUAAAGGCCCACCAAGGCGACGAUCCGUAGCUGGUCUGAGAGGAUGAUCAGCCACACUGGAACUGAGACACGGUCCAGACUCCUACGGGAGGCAGCAGUGGGGAAUAUUGGACAAUGGGCGCAAGCCUGAUCCAGCCAUACCGCGUGGGUGAAGAAGGCCUUCGGGUUGUAAGGCCCUUUUGUUGGGAAAGAAAUCCAGCCGGCUAAUACCUGGUUGGGAUGACGGUACCCAAAGAAUAAGCACCGGCUAACUUCGUGCCAGCAGCCGCGGUAAUACGAAGGGUGCAAGCGUUACUCGGAAUUACUGGGCGUAAAGCGUGCGUAGGUGGUUAUUUAAGUCCGUUGUGAAAGCCCUGGGCUCAACCUGGGAACUGCAGUGGAUACUGGAUGACUAGAAUGUGGUAGAGGGUAGCGGAAUUCCUGGUGUAGCAGUGAAAAUGCGUAGAGACCAAGGAGGAACAUCCAUGGCGAAGGCAGCUACCUGGGACCAACAUUGACACUGAGGCAUGAAAGCGUGGGGAAGAAAACAGG